GACGAACGCUGGCGGCGUGCUUAACACAUGCAAGUCGAACGGAAAGGCCCUGCUUUUGUGGGGUGCUCGAGUGGCGAACGGGUGAGUAACACGUGAGUAACCUGCCCUUGACUUUGGGAUAACUUCAGGAAACUGGGGCUAAUACCCGAUAGAAGCUCCUGCUGCAUGGGGUGCGUUGGAAAGUUUCGGUGGUGCGGGAUGGACUCGCGGCUUAUCAGCUGGUUGGGGGGGUAGUGGCUUACCAAGGCUUUGACGGGUAGCCGGCCUGAGAGGGUGACCGGCCACAUGGGGACUGAGAUACGGCCCAGACUCCUACGGGAGGCAGCAGUGGGGAAUAUUGCACAAUGGGCGGAAGCCUGAUGCAGCAACGCCGCGUGCGGGAUGACGGCCUUCGGGUGGUAAACCGCUUUCGCCUGUGACGAAGCGUGAGUGACGGUAAUGGGUAAAGAAGCACCGGCUAACUACGUG
rnacentral:rRNA from 1 species